ACCACCGCCACACCGCUUCCCCUUUCUUCUAACAUACCAACACACAGCAACAGAAAUCAGAAGCAAGAAAGAAAAGGGAGAGAGAGAUCCUAGAGUGAGGCUGCGAUGGGAAAGAGAGAAGAGAGGAGGGGGAACUGCUGCCGAACCGCCACUGCGUCUUGAUGCUGCCGCCGUCUUCUCGGUGGAGCCGUGCGCGAGAGAGGAAGGCCGAAAGAGAGAUAGAGAUUCGAGAGAGAAGAGGAAGCAGCGUUGUCACCCAGCCGCCGUGCCUCCUUACUUCCGUUGAGUCACCCAUUCCCGUUGCUGUUCCGGUGCCGUGGAGCCAUCGCCGCCAUCAUCACGAGCCGCACAUCAUCGCCGUUAGAUCCACGUCGCCAGAGCCAGAGAACA